GACGAACGCUGGCGGCGUGCCUAAUACAUGCAAGUAGAACGCACAGUUUAUACCGUAGCUUGCUACACCAUAGACUGUGAGUUGCGAACGGGUGAGUAACGCGUAGGUAACCUGCCUGGUAGCGGGGGAUAACUAUUGGAAACGAUAGCUAUUACCGCAUAAUAUUAAUUAUUGCAUGAUAAUUAAUUGAAAGGUGCAAUUGCACCACUACCAGAUGGACCUGCGUUGUAUUAGCUAGUAGGUGAGGUAACGGCUCACCUAGGCGACGAUACAUAGCCGACCUGAGAGGGUGAACGGCCAAACUGGGACUGAGACACGGCCCAGACUCCUACGGGAGGCAGCAAGAGGGAAUCGUCGGCAAUGGACGAAAAGCUGACCGAGCAACGCCGCGGGAGGGAAGAAGGUUUUCGGAUCGGAAAGCUCUGUUGUAAGGGAAGAACGGGUGUGAGAGUGGAAAGUUCACACUGUGACGGUAUCUGACCAGAAAGGGACGGCUAACUACGUG
rnacentral:rRNA from 1 species